UAUUAUUAUAAUUUAAAAAUUAAUAUAUUAAGGUAGUAGUAGUUAUAGUCUUGAAACCUAAAAAAUUUGGCGGUAUUUUAGUCUAUUCAGAGGAACCUGUUCUAUAAUCGAUAAUCCACGAUGGACCUAACUUAAAUUUGUAUUCAGUUUAUAUAUCGUUGUUAUAAAAUAUUUUAUAAGAAUAAUAAUAUUUUUAAUUUUUUAUAAAAAAAUAUAUCAGAUCAAGGUGUAGCUUAUAUUUAAGAAGAAAUGGGUUACAAUAAAAUUAUUUAUAUGAAUAUAAAUUUGAAAUGUUUAUUGAAGGUGGAUUUGAUAGUAAAUUUAUAUAGAUAAAUAAAUUGAUUUUAGCUCUAAAAUAUGUA
rnacentral:rRNA from 1 species